rnacentral:lncRNA from 11 species
GUUUCACAGCAUUGGAAAGCUCCAACGAGAGCUGCAGCAGCUUGCCAUCUAAACCUUUUAAAUUCAAGGAUUGGGAGCAAUAGUGAGUUCAGUAGAAGGAACUAGACUAGAGACUCUGAGGGUGUAUACUGAUGAUGCCUUUGUUUGGAAAUAAUAUUGAUGUUCACAUUUCCCAAGACAAAGCAAGGCUGAAUCAAAAGGUUUCAAAUGCUACAAAGUGCCCAAGUAAAAUGGAAAAGCACUGGAGGAGAGAACUGGAUAUACUAGCUAGCCAUACCGGGUGGGCUUGCCAGCCUGUGCACAGCCAUAAUUCCAGGGCUCCCUAUUGUUUCCAGUGGGAGGAAAAUGACUACAACAACUGGCAAGGAUUGUGCUUGAAGUGGUCUGCUAUUUUGCUUCAUCGGAUUUGGUGGGAUGAGGGUGGUCCAUGUUGCCUUGGCUGCUCAUGUAGGAGGGUGUACAUGGAAAAACAGAAUACACUAAACAGGGAGUUGGGUUAUUUUUUCCAUGUCCUAAUACAUUAUUUCAGAUCACAGAGCAGACAACUGUUCUUGAGGGACUUGCAACAUGCGGUCAGGGUCCUUUUGAUCAGCCUGGCGGGGGAAAGAGAAUGAAGAAGACACUUUUCCAUUGUGGUGUGAAAAAAAAUGAGCUGGUUAUAGUGAAUCCCUUUGUACCAUUUCAGUGUAGAGGUCUCAGGAACUGCCUCUUGAUGUCCUUGGGCCCAAAGGAUUGGGGGUGGCUUGGGGUUUUUGGUCUUCUCAUUUAAAGUCCUGAUACUAGAGGUCUUCAGGUCUGUCUUCCAGUAGAUGGCCAGAUGGAGAGCAACCCAGGUAUUGUGUUGCCCUCAGAGCCCAAGUGUUUCACCCAGAGGAAAACUCUGGAAGAAAUCCAAAAGGGACGACUGCUUCAGCUGAUUCCCUGCUAAGGUGCUCCCCACCUUCUUGUUCCUUUCCAAGUUCAACACACUGAAAUAGCCUUUAGGUGAAAUAAAGUGGCCUUUUUCAAC